CGUUACCCACGUGGGUCCGAAGCUGUCGCCGACCUGCGCAGGGCUGAAGUUCUGCUGCACCGCCUUCUCAUAGGGAAGCCUCUCGGGCGUCAGGAAGCUGGAGAGUGUCACCGAGCAGCUGUCCCCGAAGAGCCUGGGCAGGAGCAGCUGAUGGGCGCAUGCUCGAAGCCGCCCCUGUCCCACCCGUGAGCCAGCGGAUGGCUGGGGAAACGCUCUCCCUUGGCUAAGGCCGUGAGGACUGCCUGGCAGCUCAGCAGCACAGACCAACCUCUACCGUUCGCUCCCCAGCCCCUGGCCUGGCAGUGGCGGGAACUUUGUUCCGCGGCCCGGUUGGCCACGGCCUGGGUUUCCCUCCGGAAGGGAAGGGGAGAGCGCGCGGGUGUGGUAGGCCAAGGACCACACCUGCCGCGAAGGUUACAGUCGGUGAAGUAGAUCGGGGACACGAACUUCUCCACCCGCUCGAAAGUGGUGCGCCAGUGCUUCAAGAACGGCGCUGCCGCCAUGGCGAUGCGCCUUCCCUCCCCGGAAGAUCCUUGGUGCUGCCGGCUCGUUGCACCGCUUGGAACCAAAGGUUCCGGCAUCCAACCAGCUUACAGACCCGAGCAGCUUUUCUGGGAACACCACGGCUUUUGCAAGAGGCUGGCUCUGGGGAGCCUCCCAGUGAAACCCGGAAGCUGAGCCUUCGCGGUUCUCACCUCAGCCUUGCUGUCAGACAGCUGGGUAAAUUAUUUUAAAAUACAAUGGAGUCUGGAAGAAAAUAAUACAGGAGGAAUCUAACUAGCCUGCUUUAAUGGAAAUAACCAGGUUUACAUUCCAAAUGCAGGUUACCCAGAAAAAUGAUCAAGUAAGAAAUAUACAAUGCCAAUUAAAAUAACUUGUCAAAACUUGGUACUAAAUCUGAAGCCACAUGGUACUAUGGUACACAAGAAGCUAGAGCAGUUAUGCUAGCACAUCAAAGCAUAUUUCUUUAAUAAAAAAUUGACAGUAUGGCUUGUGGUGUGUCAGCUAUAUUAUGCCUGGUGCCCAUAGACAGAGGCUGGAAGAAAACACUGGUUUCCCUGGAACUGGAGUUACAGGAGGACAUGGACGUCCACGUGGGUGCUGACAAGAACUACAAGUGCUUUUAGCUGCUGAGCUACUUGCUAGGCUCAAUCUAGGAUUCCUAAACUUAAAAGUUGCAGCAGGUAUCUGCCUCUCUCAGAAUCUUUAGAAAUGGAAGCAUUACAAAUCCAGAGACAACGAUGGGACCUUGUUGAAGCCUCUCUGAGCUUGAUACCUCAAAUCGUUCAUCUUCACAACGGUAAAUAUGUUCUUCAUACUGAGUCUUCUUGGAACUAACAAAAGUGGAGUCUUCAGACCAAGAUGGGAAGGAAACCCAGAAAACCCUCCUGGCAUUGGCUACCAUAACCAUAGCCUGACUUGUGAAAUUCAGGGAUAAGUUGAAAGACUAUCAGAACCAUUUUCUAUUUUGAAUUAAGACUUUGUGGUUCUGGUGAGCUGAGGCUAAAGAGCCAGCCACGAUUAAGAGACCACUACUACUGCAACAGUGAAACUUUUACAACUUAUGCUGGUCAGCUGGAGCUGAGAAAUUAGUGGUGAUUAAGAAGAGACCACAUUACUGAGGUGACAUCUUCUGGGAGGUGUCUCCUCGAGACCACCAAAGGGAUGCUGCGAGGAUGAAGUAACCCUUUAUUUCUGCUACAGGAGCCAGAUUGGGCCCCCAGGGAGUACUGGCUUUAAAGGCAUGAAAUCAUCAGAGAGCAGCUGAGGCUUGGCACCUGGAGAAGCCAGGAGAGGGCAUUGGUGAAAGUGCAGCCAGAAAAGCAAGUGAAGCCAAGGAUUGAAGGAGUAAGAAAAAGAAGAGCCCAGGAGAGGUUAUUUGUGAAAGGGCAGCCCAGCUGCAUUAGAAUAGCCAACUAUUUUGAAGAGGAUAAUACAGCAGGAAGACCAUCAAGCAGCAAUGGUGGAGUGCAACCUGUCUAAGCCUACGAGACAACCUGUAGCCAUUAGAGCCAGAAAACUAGCCGAAGCCUUUUGGAGGAGCAGCCCCAGAAGGUUAAUGGUAAGCGGAACUCAGGCAUUGGACACAGUUAUUUACACACAGUUAAGAGUUUGAGUUUCCCUUAUUCAGACUAUGACUGUGCCCUGGUUCUUCCCUCUUGAAGAAAGAAAGAAUUUAAUAAGCUCAUUUUUGAUUCUACAGGAGACCAUAGUAGAAAGACUUUGAGUUCAGAGGUUUUUUAAGAGACUGGAUUUCAAACUUUUUAAUGCAAUUGAAUUUAAAAAGACUAUAGAACUUUUAAAGUUAUUUAUGCUUUAUUAUAUUUUGAUACUAAUAUUAAUAGGCCAUUUUGGAGACAAAUAUAAAGGGUUCUAA
rnacentral:lncRNA from 1 species